GAUGAACGCUGGCGGCGUGCUUAACACAUGCAAGUCGAACGAUGAAGCCCAGCUUGCUGGGUGGAUUAGUGGCGAACGGGUGAGCAACACGUGAGUAACCUGCCCUUAACUCUGGGAUAAGCCCGGGAAACUGGGUCUAAUACCGGAUAGGAGCGUCCACCGCAUGGUGGGUGUUGGAAAGAUUUAUCGGUUUUGGAUGGACUCGCGGCCUAUCAGCUUGUUGGUGAGGUAAUGGCUCACCAAGGCGACGACGGGUAGCCGGCCUGAGAGGGUGACCGGCCACACUGGGACUGAGACACGGCCCAGACUCCUACGGGAGGCAGCAGUGGGGAAUAUUGCACAAUGGGCGCAAGCCUGAUGCAGCGACGCCGCGUGAGGGAUGACGGCCUUCGGGUUGUAAACCUCUUUCAGUAGGGAAGAAGCGAAAGUGACGGUACCUGCAGAAGAAGCACCGGCUAACUACGUG
rnacentral:rRNA from 1 species